GAGGCAGCAGUGGGGGAAUGUUGAACAUUGGACACUAGCGUGAUGCAGAGACGCCGCGUGGGGGAUGGCGACCUUGGCGUUGUAAACUCAAUUUGCUAGGGAAGAAGCGUUUUUGUGACGGUACCUGGAGAAGAAGCACCGGCUAACUACGUGCCAGCAGCCGCGGUAAUACGUAGGGUACGAGCGUUGUCCGGAAUUACUGGGCGUAAAGAGCUCGUAGGUGGUUUGUCGCGUCGUUUGUGUAAGCCCGCAGCUUAACUGCGGGACUGCAGGCGAUACGGGCAUAACUUGAGUGCUGUAGGGGAGACUGGAAUUCCUGGUGUAGCGGUGGAAUGCGCAGAUAUCAGGAGGAACACCGAUGGCGAAGGCAGGUCUUUGGGCAGUAACUGACGCUGAGGAGCGAAAGCAUGGGUAGCGAACAGGAUUAGAUACCCUGGUAGUCCAUCCCGUAAACGGUGGGCGCUAGGUGUGAGUCCCUUCCACGGGGUUCGUGCCGUAGCUAACGCAUUAAGCGCCCCGCCUGGGGAGUACGGCCGCAAGGCUAAAACUCAAAGGAAUUGACGGGGGCCCGCACAAGCGGCGGAGCAUGUGGAUUAAUUCGAUGCAACGCGAAGAACCUUACCUGGGCUUGACAUACACCAGAUCGCCGUAGAGAUACGGUUUCCCUUUGUGGUUGGUGUACAGGUGGUGCAUGGUUGUCGUCAGCUC
rnacentral:rRNA from 1 species